GCGUCUCCGUUUUUUUCCCCGUGCCGGCGUGUUCGCGUCCCUGUUUUUCUCUGUGCCACCAUGUUCGUGGCUCCGUUUUUUUCUCUGUGCCGCCGUGUUCGCGUCUCUGUUUUUUUCUCCGUGCCGCCACGUUCGCGUUUUUUUCUCUGUGCCUCCGUGUUCAUCUCUGUAUUUCUCUGUGCCACCGUGUUCGCGUCUCCGUUUUUUUCUCUGUGCCGCCGUGUUUCUGUUUCUCUGUGCCGCGGUGUUCGCGUCUCUCUUUUUCUCCGUGCCGUCGUCUUCGCGUCUCUGUUUUUCUCUGUGCUGCUGUGUUCGCAUCUGUUCGCAUCUCAUCCCAUCGGUUUGUAUCUAAUUUCCCUUUUGUUUAUGUAAGUAGUUUUUCAUUAACAGUUUUCCUGUGUGCACUUUUUCUCUGUGCUAAAAUUCCCUGUGCUGUGUCCAUCUCUCUUUAUUUCUAUGCACAGCUUCACUUAUUUGUGUUUUGAUCUCUGUGCUGUUUCUAUUUUUCGGUGCUUUUUUCCCCCUUGCCCCAGCCCCCCCAAGCACUAUUAGUGUCUCUGUGCUAUAAUAUUUGUCUAUAGUUUUUCUGUGUUGCUCCUGUCUUAAAUUUUUCCCCGUGUUGUUACUGUGACUGUGUUUUUAUUUCCUGUGGUGUUAAUUUUCUGUGAUUUCUAUCUCUGUGCUGCUUUAUAGGUCUAGUGUUUUUUUUGUUGCGCCCCCCCCCUCCCCCCUCCACAUUCUGGGUGUGUAUACCUUUUCUCUGUGCUGUUUCUGUCUCUCUUUUCCCUGUGUUCUUUUUUUAAUGCACAUUUUGUUCCCUUUCACUCUCGUGUCUCUCUUCUCUGUACUGCGGUGUUUAUUUUUCUCCGUGCAUGGUUUUCACACGUGGACCAUCUGUCGUUCUCUGUGUCAGUUGUGUAUCUUUUUGUUUUUGUUUCUCUCUCUGCUUCUUUUCUCUGGGCUGUCGGUGGCCCUGAUGUUUCUGUGUCUCUAGUUUUCUUUCUGUAUUAUUUCUGUUUCUAUUGUUUUCUUUUUAUAUAUAUAUAUAUAUAUAUAUAUAUAUAUAUAUAUAUAUAUAUAUAUAUCUCUAGGGUGUAUAUUUCUGGUGUGUGUCCCUAGUUUUUCUCUGUGCUGUAUAUCUUGCUUUUUGCUCUGUGUCGUUUUUGUCUCUGGUGUUUAUUUAAUUUUAUUUUAUUUAAUGUGCUAUUUGGUCUUUAUUUUCCUCUCAGGCCGUUCCUCUUGUGUUGCUUUCCAGUGUUUCUUUCUCUCCGUUGUGUGCGCUUCUAGAGACUCUCUGUGUUGGUUGUACAUCUUUAGUUGUGUUUUUUUCUUCUUCUCUGCUCUGUUAUAGCUCGCAUGUGUGUCUUUAAUGUUUCUUCACACCUCUGCGUCCGUUCCAGAUAUUCUCUGUGCUGGUUGAGUGUUUUGUUUGUGCAGAAGAUCUCUGUAUCUUUUUCUGUGAGCUUUCUUGUCGCAUUCUCUGUCACGUCUCGCUGCAUAAAGUCUGUGUGUGUGUGUGUGUGUGUUUAUUUAUUUAUUUUCUUCUCACUGUUACGUUUGGGUCUCUGUGUUCUUGCCUGUGUUUCUGUAUCGUAUCACUGCGUCACGUUUGUGUUUCGGCUGCCGUUGCUGAACUCGCAGCUCUGCGUAGAGAACGAAAGAUCGCCUGUCACGGGAAACAUCUGUAUUUUCCUCUGCUUUCUAACAGCAUCGUUGUUUAGUUUUUUUUGUUUUGUUGUUUUCUCUGUGCUGUCUCUCUCUCUCACUCUCUCUCUCACACACACACACACACACACACGGCAAGAGUGGAGUCAACAGCUGUCAGUGGGUGCAUUAGUGUGGUUAGAAGGGAUGUCUGAGAGGGCAUAUUUCCUCACACACGCGUGUGUGUGUGUGUGUGUGUGUGUGUGUGUGUGUAUGCCAAGGGCACAAACAAGUGAACAAAAUCCCCUGUGUCACAGCGUGACUGUUCCGCAUUAGCACUGCUAGAGAGGCGAGGAGUAUUGUGUGUGUGUGUGUGUGUGUGUGUGUGCGUGUUGCUUAAUUUAGCACAUGACCGGCUACUCAAGCGCUGUUUAGUGACAUUCAUCCUCAGUGCCAGAAGAGCGGGAGACGGGGGAGGGUGGGGGAGACGAGGCAACAUCGGAAGGCGGAGCUUUCGCAGGACGCGUUGUUUGCGUUGGGAGACGAGCGACAGGAAGUGAACCACAGUUCCCAUUUCCUGUGCGCUGAAUGGAAUAUGAGCUCAGGAUAUUAUAUGUUGAUGAAUCGUUUUAGAACAGCAGCAGCGACAGUAGCGCAGGCUUGUACUAACGUGCUUGAGGACCUGGUACAGCUGUUUUCUGUUCCGUUACGGAACGUUCUUUGCGUAAGGAGUCUCCAGUGUCAGAGGCGAAGCCUAAAAUAAGAUGCUGAGGAUCCAGGACGUUCUUGAACGGGUGGAAUAUCGCGAGCACAAUGUACUUCAGUGUUUCAAACUUUAUACGGUGGUGAUGAUGAAGAUGAGCCAUAAAUGAAUAAUAAUAAUAAUAAUAAUAAUAAUAAUAAUAAUAAUAAUAAUUUUCUUGUGUACAAAAAUGAAAAGAGUUGAAAUGAAUGAAUGUUAUUAGAGUUAUUCAAAUUAUUUAUCUACAGCAAUACAUAUGGGAAUUACAUCGUAUGUGUGUGUGUGUGUGUGUGUGUGUGUGUGUGAGAGAGAGAGAGAGAGAGUGAAGGUGAAGACCUGGUUAUUCGAGUGUUAAGGUUCCACACCUCUGGUCUGCUGGAGAAACAUGAAACUGCCUCCCAUAUGAUUUCAUUGGAAUUGCACUUACGACCUCUGUGCACUAGGGGGCGGUGCACUUAUAAAUCAUAAACCUGGAAUCCGUCAACAAACUUUUAGAAGAACAAUGGACAAGGAACUGCGCUACCACGAUGGAGGAGGGGAAGGACAGAGUGCUAGGGAAGCGCAGCAGAGAGAAAUGAGGCUGAGAAGACGCCGAACUGAGAGAGAGGGAAGGAAGGAAAUUGGUGGGCGGAGGAGUGUGUGUGUGUGUGUGUGUGUGUGUCAGACGCUCUCAGCAGGCCAGUUUACUGCUGUUCACCUGCAGGCAGAGAGAGGAAGAUCCCCCCCCUCCCAACCCACCCCCACCCCCACCCCCAAGAGCCUCAACUCAACACCACCACGUUUCCUGCCAGUGGGUGUGUGAAAAACACACACAAAUAUCCUUGCUAGUCUUCCUCAGUCACUCGGCGCACUCAGCUUUUAAAGCUCCCUCAGUGAGACGCGCUGCAAAAAUAAACAACAAUAAUAAUAAAAAGAAGUGCGAUUGUUCUAUUUUUAUUUCUCCUUCUUUUUUUUUCUUUUCCUUUUUCUUUUUUUUUUUUUUUUUUGACUCUAAACUCUUAUCGUACGGAACGCCUCGUCUCUUAAUGACAUAAUGACAGAGUAAUUACGCAAAUGAUCAGCGCUCACUCGCUCGUCGUACAUCACGAGCGUGUGGUUCAGACACACACACACGCACACACACACACACACACACACACACACACGUGGUCGCUAUGAAGUCGAGUCAAGGAAAUAUGUUGCUUUAUGAGUCGAUUUGGAUUAAAUUAGCACGUCGUUGUCGUUUUCUUCGCUAGCUGUAGCUAGCCAUUUCACUUAACGGAGGUAUCGUGCUCACGUUUACGCCGUAAGCUAGCUGUGGCGUUUUUAAUCAGUCGCGGUGGUUUUGUCGUAGCGAUUUUGCUAACUAGCCAGGAAUUUUCGAACGAAUGGAGAAACGGUAGAAAACGCCGCCACGGGUUACAAGCUUUUGAUAGUAAGAAUUGCAGCGUGUCUUGUAAUCGAGGCCGUUGACGGCUAGCUGUAACUAGCACGAUUAGAACUAGACGCGCUAACUGUCGCUGAUAACUUCUUUUUUUUUUUCCUCUAAAAGAUCUCAAAUCUGUUCGAAGAUCGUGAGUUUCCUUCAGUUUUACGGAGUAAAGUUUGUCGAGUGUGGUGUUCGUUUUCAUUCUGCUAACGAAGAGAAAGUCAGACUCGUUACUUGUGUGUGUGUGUGUGUGUGUGUGUGUGUGUGUGUGAGAGAUUAAACAUUUAUGAGGAAAUCAAGGCAUCGAGAAAAGUCCUCCUAACCUCAUCUUUAGUAAUUGCCGUUUUGCCCUUCCCCCAAAUCAUUCAUCUCUUUUUUUCCCCUAUAAUUGGAUCCACAUUGAAACAUUUGCAUGUUAAUGUCGUCUUCCGUCAUCGCGAUUCUCACCAUCCAUCACUUCACAUUAACGCAGUUUACCCGUCCAUCAGUGCGCCAUUACACACCGCUGCAUCCUGGGAGAACCUGGACCGGGUCUAUAUGAAGUG